rnacentral:pre_miRNA from 1 species
CGACUUUUGUGAUUAGCAAUUACAUUUUCGACGAAUUGCAUAGUCACAAAAGUGUCC